ACGGUCCCUCACACCCAAACCCUUGUUAACCUUUCGCAUCCCGUGUCCUCCAGGCAGCACCACCCACUCACGCCUUCAACCUCGGCCAUGCUGCUUCUGCCGCGGCAACCACAGCCUUGGCCCCACUCCAAAGACUGUUCCUUCUCACUUGAGUCAUUUUCAUAAGCAACUGCUGAAAACUGGAAAGGCAAGGCUCGGUCUAUACCCUCUUGGCCAGGGAAGAGAGAGGACCUCAAAAUGAAAGCAGAGCAUUUCUUCUUAAGGCUCCUGCCGGGAAUCCACAGUCGGCUGUGAGAUCCCACUAGAGCCGGAGGCACCACACCUGCUCUCCCUGGAUCUGCAGCUCCAUCCUGCCCUCAGGGACCAGCCUUGGGCUCAGCACCCCUUCUUACAGGCCUAUCCUCUUCUCCAGGAGUCUCUAUGCAGCAUAAAGGCCAUCGCACAUACUCACCCACAGUAUCACCAGGGCACAUGACGACGUCCGGACAUAGGGUAUAACGUCCCUACGCUUACCGUGCUUCAUAUUUAUAAAUGCUGGCACCAUGAAGAGCAAGAAGCUGAUGGUGACGAUGAUACUGGAGAUAAGAGGGCUCCCUAAGCAGAACUGUAACCUGGAGAUAAUACAGUCAUAUGCUAAGCUCAGCCCACGCCAAUUUAUUCACAAGACACAUGCACUGCAGGGAGUUUGCUCAUCGUACUCAUCUUUGUAUCCUUACGUAGACAGUCUAUGAGAUGGCCCCCACGCCCCCGGUCUCCUUUCAGACAGUCCCCUUCCUGAGAGCUGACCAGUGUUUCCAACAGAACUCUGUGGCCGUGAUGGUGUGCACCUUGCAGUGCUGGAUCAUGAUAGUAUGGUGG